GCAUAUCAAUAAGCGGAGGAAAAGAAACUAACAAGGAUUCCCCUAGUAGCGGCGAGCGAACCGGGAUGAGCUCAAAUUUGUAAUCUGGCGUCCUCCGGGCGUCCGAGUUGUAAUCUAUAGAAGCGUCUUCCGUGCCGGACCGCGUCCAAGUCCCUUGGAACAGGGCGUCAAAGAGGGUGACAAUCCCGUGCUUGAUGCGACGACCGGUGCACUGUGAUACGCUCUCUACGAGUCGAGUUGUUUGGGAAUGCAGCUCAAAGUGGGUGGUAAAUUCCAUCUAAAGCUAAAUAUUGGCGAGAGACCGAUAGCGAACAAGUACCGUGAGGGAAAGAUGAAAAGCACUUUGGAAAGAGAGUUAAACAGUAUGUGAAAUUGUUGAAAGGGAAA
rnacentral:rRNA from 1 species